UACGGGGGGGGCAAGCGUUGUUCGGAAUUACUGGGCGUAAAGGGCUCGUAGGCGGCCAACUAAGUCAGACGUGAAAUCCCUCGGCUUAACCGGGGAACUGCGUCUGAUACUGGAUGGCUAGAGUUUGGGAGAGGGAUGCGGAACUCCAGGUGUAGCGGUGAAAUGCGUAGAUAUCUGGAGGAACACCGGUGGCGAAGGCGGCAUCCUGGACCAACACUGACGCUGAGGAGCGAAAGCCAGGGGAGCAAACGGG
rnacentral:rRNA from 1 species